AUUGAACGCUGGCGGCAUGCUUUACACAUGCAAGUCGAACGGUAACAGGCCGCAAGGUGCUGACGAGUGGCGAACGGGUGAGUAAUGCAUCGGAACGUGCCCAGUCGUGGGGGAUAACUGCUCGAAAGAGCAGCUAAUACCGCAUACGAUCUAUGGAUGAAAGCGGGGGACCGUAAGGCCUCGCGCGAUUGGAGCGGCCGAUGUCAGAUUAGGUAGUUGGUGGGGUAAAGGCUCACCAAGCCAACGAUCUGUAGCUGGUCUGAGAGGACGACCAGCCACAAUGGGACGGAGACACGGCCCAGACUCCUACGGGAGGCAGCAGUGGGGAAUUUUGGACAAUGGGGGCAACCCUGAUCCAGAAAUGCCGCGUGCAGGAAGAAGGCCUUCGGGUUGUAAACUGCUUUUGUACGGAACGAAACGGUCUGGGUUAAUACCCUGGGCUAAUGACGGUACCGUAAGAAUAAGCACCGGCUAACUACGUGCCAGCCGCCGCAGUAAAAC
rnacentral:rRNA from 1 species